rnacentral:tRNA from 1 species
GAUGGUGGCUCAAAUGGUAAAGAAUCUGCCUGCAAUGCAGGAGACCCAGGUUCGAUCCCUGGAUCA